ACCUCAACUUGAUCGUCCAAGAUUUUUUUAGUUUUGAAAUAUUGGAUAAUUAUCUAGACGUAAUUACCUUCACCAUUUGGACGAACGCUGAUGUUUCCCUCCUCCCCUUCCUGCCUCCACCAGGUGUGGCGCGAUUUCAAGUGUUCGCGGGGCGGAGGGUCCUGGCGGGCGGCGGUGGAGGGGAGGCGCGGGAGGUGGAGGCGUUGGGAGGGGGAGAGGAGGGGGGGAAUCAUGCUGCGUCCUGCCCUGCCGUCCCUCCCUAUACGUGACUGUACAACAUCUCUAAGGAUACUUAUUGGUGGCGGCGAGGUCUGUUGUCUGAGGCAGGCGUGGGGGACAAAGGUGCACAGAGGGUCACAUUCAGCAGCAUCAACAGGUGAAAAUUCCGUUCUGCACAGGUUAGAGGAAGUUUGUCCGAAGCUGUGUACCCUGGAGCCCCGAAACAGGGAGUCGGGGACGCCAGCCAGUGAAACCUUCAGUUCCCUCCUGCCUCGUGUGGGCCACGCCUCGCCGCGCCGCUCCCCGAAGGUCCACGAGUAUGUUGAGGCAUCAGAAGUGGGCAGCAGCGUUAAUUGGAAUCGAAGACAGAAGAGGUCGCGAAGGAGUGGAAUCAGAAAACUUACAAAAGUGACAAGAUUGAUAGACACUGCUCCAAGUGAUACAAAUGUUUCUCGUAGCUCAAACCUGAUGACAGACUGAGUUGAUUGGCUGUGCCUCAGCCCACCCUGGUGAGACCUUCCGGCUUCAGUAGCACCACGUCCUGUAAUCUGGAGACACUGCAAGGCUGACACACUCCACUUCUUACCAGUCUUUUCAUCCAUCAGCUUCUGGAUGUGUCCGUGCAGACUUCGAGCAGGAACUUCCGAGUUGCCAGCCAUGACGGCCUCCAGCAGUGCAUCAUGGAUGAAUAUGUACUGGUCUUCAGUUUGAACCUGCAUGGCGUCAAUCACAAUAAAUGCACCGGUUCGACCAACACCAGCACUGCAAAGUAAGAGGUGUCAUAAGAAACUCUGACAAAAGUCUACAAACAUGUUCUUUGCUGCAAAACACUUACCUGCAGUGGACAACAAUGGGGCCGGCAUCAGAAGGGUUGAUGUGCCGCACACGCCGUAGAAACAUGAGGAAGGGAGACGGGUGGUCAGGCACGCCGUGGUCUGGCCAAGCCGUGAAUUGGAACUGUCGAAUCUCGC